rnacentral:lncRNA from 1 species
AUGUCACCUAGUUGUAGCCGCCUUGGGGCCCGGAUUCCGUGGAGACGGGCCCGGGUACGUGCCCAGACUCCUUGGGCCUCCCUCGGAGGCCUCCGUGUAGGGGAGCACAGAGGACGUGCCCUUAGUCUGGGGGCAGCGGCCAGAGCCCCCAGCUGGUGGGCACGGGUGCUGGCCUGCUGGCAUUGCCGGAGUCUGCUCCCAUCUGGGGCAAGCCUCCUGGUUCCUGGUUUUCAUGCCCCUGCUCACUGCUCCUGCCCUGGAGGCCCCGAUCUGCGGGUCUCCCAUCGCCCACGCCCUCUCCACCGCGCCCUCCCCUCACUCGGCCCAGCCUGCCCUCCCACAGCCACCGAAAGCCCGGGAACCAGGACGCCCACCCGCUGUCCGCCAGGCCGAGGGCGCCUUGUGCCGCCCCCCCCCCCCCCCCCCCGGGGCGGGGGCCGCCCGGCAGCCCCACUGCCCCCUUGGCCUGCCCUGCCCCCUGGGGAGGAGUUGCAAGAACCUGUGUUCCUGGAGCCCCCAGCCCGACGCCUGAGGAAAGGGCCAGCAGCCAGGGCCCCCGCAAACUCCUCCACCCCCGACGGUCCGGCCCCAGCCCUGGUUCCGAGAGGAGCAAAAGGACCAGCUCUUCUGCUUUGCCCCUCGCGCUACCUUGUUGGAAGAGUCAGGUCAGCAAUAAAGUGCACUUGGACUGUUGCCAGAGGGGCCGCGCCUGGGCUGUUCAUUUCUCCGGGGCCGGGACGCGCGACACGGGGUCGGGGACCGCUUAGCUUCUGCAGGGCACGGAGCGCUUGGAACCACAGAACUGGCUCGAGCUGCUUCUGCCGCGCAGUGCCCUGGCCUGUGUCCGGGGAGCUUUGGGGCUUGAGGCCUGGGGACAGACGCCGGUGUGGUGAGGCCCCCCGCCUGGCCCCCCGCGCUCUGGGGGGCCCCCAAGCCCCCCCCCCGGGGUUCCUGCCCCCACUCCCCCAGCCUGCUCGGAAACCUCACUGCUUCGGGAAGGGGAGGAGUGACCACGGAGUCCUUGCAGUUAAGAAUGGCCCCUGGUGGGGCUCGCUGGUGGGACUUGUCGGCGCGGCCACACCCAGCCUUCCCUCCGAGAACCUGACCGGCCUCGGGCUGUGCGGGCCCCCGCCUUCCCCGGGGGUGCGGACGGCUCCGGGCCGGGCGGGCUUGCCUUGGUGCGCGUGCCCCCUUCCCCCGCAGGUCACCAGCAUUUGUGGAAACCGACACGGUGCGGGUCCGAGAAGGACAUGCGGCCUCGGACGAGAGUCCCACUCCCUGAGCCCGGCCUUCCCGAAGGGUGACAUGGGGCCUGCCUCGCUGGCUCCGGGCUGGUUGGGAAACGUGGGUGGGGCUGUCAAAUGGAACCGGUGUCUGGUUCUCAUUUGUAAGGGAAAACGGCUUCAGAAAAGACAUGAAAGCAGAUGCUCAGUCCACCAAAUACAAACCAGUGAAAACUGCCCUGCGUGGACCACACCCGGUCCAGAGCAACGCUAG